AGGUCCUGGUGAAGAAUGCAGAUAUAAUGUGGCCUGGAAGGGAAGAUGCUACUGAAUAAAACAAAGCAUAUGUGGAGAUAUUUGCUGAGCACCUAGUAUGUUCCAGACACUGACUAGGAGGUGUAUGUGAACUGGUACCAAAAGUUAUGAACAUGUGUGUAAGGCAGUAGAAGAUGCCUGUCAUCUGAGGACAGAACUGCUCAAGAAGUAAAGCUUGUUACCCAGGAGGAUGUACAGAAGCUGCCAUUUGCUUUCUCCUUGCUGGCUGCUGAUCCUAAAGAAGUAGCACAGACACCAUGGACCCUCACCUUAAGAUACUGCUACCGAGUUAAGUUAUCAGGUGAGGAGAAAAUCAUCAGCCUGAUCCAGAAGAUGGGAGUUUUAGUUCAGAUUUGUCCUGUAUUUGUUGUGGAAUCUGGGCACAAGUCUCAUAACCUUCCUUAAGCAUUCAGUUUUUGCACCUGGUCUAUAAGAAUAAUACGUCAAACAGGUUAGUGCCAUUUCUCUGUAUGUUUCUAUAUCUGUAAAGUAAGCACAGUGAUCCUAGCCACUUCAGAAGAUCUUCACAAGGCUAACAUGAUUCAACACGUGGAAAUGUUCUAGCAGAGUGCUUCUUUCAUGGUAUGUACUCAAUAAACAUUCAUUGGAAUCAUUUUCCCUUCUUCCUAGAACUCACUUGAGUAAAAUUGCCAGUCAUAGAAAUCAGAAUGCUGAGUACCAUGUUAAUGCCUUGACAAUUUUCUGGAAAGAAGAAAUAAAAACCUGUCUAAUGCUCCCAGUUUUAUUUUACUAGCAUUUUCUCUCCUCUCUCUCUCUCUCUUUUUUUUUCCCCCUUGGGAUGAUGUCUCUUUGUGGCAGAGCAACAACGCCAACAACAACUACAAUCCGGGGCCAAAGGCCAGAAACCAUGGAUAAGAAAGACCACUCCUCCUGUCCAGUCCUCUUCUGUGCUGCUGGGUUUUCUCUGACAGGAAUGCAUGUAUUUCUUCAAGAGCCCUGUAACCAAGAGCACAGGAGUUUUCUUGGAACCAGAGGCAGAAGGCUCCUGCUCCAUUGUGGCUCAUAUUCUCACUCUGCACCCAAGCAUGUCUUUAUUUGGUGACAUUCACAGCCUUUGCCUUCCUGCCUCAGCAGCUAUUGUCCCAGCCUCAGACCCAGUCACGACAAGUGUGGCUGCUGUGUGGAUCAUGUCUCAGGCAAUUCAGAGAGCCUUUCAGAGAAUAAAGCUUUGGAUUUGACUGUGACUUCUGCUACAACUGACUCUUUCUCCUAGAAAACUAUUGUGUUGGAUGAAGCAAGAAGAUGCAAGCUGUAAUGCUGUCAUGAAGGCCAAAGGUUGAGGAAGAAGUUGCCAUUUCUCCUUCCUGUUUACCACUCAAGGAUCUAUCUCCUGAAUCCUUUUUAGAAUUAUAGGUAUCCUGGCUUUAUACAUAUACCCUGGUAUUUGAGUACAUAUACUGGUGCUCACAGCAUUGAUUUAAAGUUAAUGGUUCUACUACCCUCUAGCUGUAUGACUUGGGCAUUCAGUUCUCUGAGCCUCAACUUUCUCCUCUUUAUGAUGGGAGUAGUCAUGUCUGUCUGCUUGCCUGGUCAAAUAAAAUCUCAGCUUCAUAGAUCUGAUUCCUUAGGGUCCCCUACCUGAGUAGGAAGCUUGCGUGUUACUUAACACAGCUUUUGCUGCUGAAGAUGACCAUUCCUUCAUCAGCCUCCUGGACAGAUGAUCCUCUAGUGUCAGACUGAGCUCUGAAGGGUUGGGAAGCUGCCCUCCUCAGGAGCUCAGAUAGUAAGUUGUUCUUUGUGCUGAUCUGAAACCUGAACCCUCCAGUAACUUUUGCCUGCUGGUUUCUGUGUCAUCUCUGGAUAACAGGACAUCUAACCUCAAAGUCUUCUGUAUCCUGAAGACUACUGUAAAAAGUACCAUUAUUUGUUAAGCUGUCUAUCAAGUCAUCUUUUCAGCUCCUUUGCCUGCUCUGCCCAUGGAGUUCUGAUCUGGAUUUACUGCAUGGAAUAGAACACGGUGCCAGGUGUUCCUACACGUUCUCAAGGGUCCUUGUAGCAUCGGUAAUAAAGCAUUCCCUGAUGA